UACGGAGGGGACUAGCGUUGUUCGGAAUUACUGGGCGUAAAGCGCACGUAGGCGGAUUUGUAAGUCAGAUGUGAAAGCCCCGGGCUCAACCUGGGAAUUGCAUUUGAGACUGCGUAGCUAGGGUGCGGAAGAGGGAAGCGGAAUUUCCGGUGUAGCGGUGAAAUGCGUAGAUAUCGGAAGGAACACCAGUGGCGAAAGCGGCUUCCUGGUCCAGCACCGACGUUCAGGCACGAAAGCGUGGGGAGCAAACAGG
rnacentral:rRNA from 1 species